GCCUACACAUGCAGUCGUACGAGAGUUUUUAACUCUAGUGGCGGACGGGUGAGUAACACUGUGAGAAUCUGCCUUUAGGAGGGGGAUAACAACUGGAAACGGUUGCUAAUACCCCAUAUGCUUUCGAGUGAAAUGGAUUUAUCCGCCUAGAGAGGAGCUCGCGGCUGAUUAGCUUGUUGGUAGGGUAAUGGCCUACCAAGGCGACGAUCAGUAUCUGGUUUGAGAGGACGAUCAGACACACUGGAACUGAGACACGGUCCAGACUCCUACGGGAGGCAGCAGUGGGGAAUUUUCCGCAAUGGGCGAAAGCCUGACGGAGCAAUACCGCGUGAGGGAAGACGGCCUAUGGGUUGUAAACCUCUUUUCUCAGGGAGGAACUCAAUGACGUGUACCUGAGGAAUAAGCAUCGGCUAACUCCGUGCCAGCAGCCGCGGUAAGACGGAGGAUGCAAGUGUUAUCCGGAAUCACUGGGCGUAAAGCGUCUGUAGGUGGUUUAAUAAGUCAACUGUUAAAUCUUGAAGCUCAACUUCAAAAUCGCAGUCGAAACUAUUAGACUAGAGUAUAGUAGGGGUAAAGGGAAUUUCCAGUGGAGCGGUGAAAUGCGUAGAGAUUGGAAAGAACACCGAUGGCGAAGGCACUUUACUGGGCUAUUACUAACACUCAGAGACGAAAGCUAGGGUAGCAAAUGGGAUUAGAU
rnacentral:rRNA from 1 species